GGUUUCCCCAAUGAAAAUACUUUAAACAAUGUAUCAACAUCUUCAAUGGUGGUUGUUUCAUCAAAUGCGACGUGUUUCUGUCAACAAUACGAAGGUUCAUCUUGUGUUUAAGAGCUUCUUCAGCUACUGCGGCUGAAUCGGUACAUUUUAUCUUAACAGUGUCAAAAAAGGGAAGACCUUGGACAUCUACUGUCCCUAGUUUCUU
rnacentral:lncRNA from 1 species